rnacentral:rRNA from 1 species
UCCGUAGGCGGUGUGGCAAGUCGGUAGUGAAAUCUCUCGGCUUAACUGAGAGGCCGCUGCCGAAACUGCCAUGCUCGAGUGCGAGAGAGGCGAGUGGAAUUGCGGGUGUAGCGGUGAAAUGCGUAGAUAUCCGCAGGAACAUCCGAGGCGAAAGCGGCUCGCUGGAUCGCAACUGACGCUGAGGGACGAAAGCUAGGGGAGCAAACAGGAUUAGAUACCCUGGUAGUCCUAGCCCUAAACCAUCAGGACUUGGGGUUUGCCCUGUACGGGGCAAGUCCCGGAGCUAACGCGUUAAGUCCUGCGCCUGGGGAGUACGGUCGCAAGGCUGAA